UACAGAGGUCCCAAGCGUUGUUCGGAUUCACUGGGCGUAAAGGGUGCGUAGGUGGCCAGGUAAGUUCGGUGUGAAAGCUCGGAGCUCAACUCCGAAAUGUCAUUGAAUACUAUCUGGCUGGAGGGUCGGAGGGGAGACUGGAAUUCUCGGUGUAGCAGUGAAAUGCGUAGAUAUCGAGAGGAACACCAGUGGCGAAGGCGAGUCUCUGGACAGUUCCUGACGCUGAGGCACGA
rnacentral:rRNA from 1 species